CAUAAACUAGAGCGUUUUGAUUUUGAACUGAAAUGUAAACGAUUUCUCACCUGUCAAACGGCUUACACAGUCAAACUUCUAAAAAGGAACAGGAGGACCAAAAAGCGAUUGACACAAGUGGAGGCGAACGUUGGUAAACCUUUUCAUCCAUAGAUCCUGACACGAACCAAGAUGUCUUCUCAGCUGAUGAUAAAUAGUGGUCUGAGCUCUGCUGUUAGCAGUGGAACCUAAUGCGCCGUUGCGUGUUCAUACACCUGGAGUGAGGGCGGACAUGUGCAGCUGAUGAAUGCUGCGGCCCAUCCCAGGUGACAGGACUAACUGAGUCCAAGCUGACAAGAGUCCCUG
ensembl:lncRNA